AGGAACACUUGCUGCUUCGCUGACGAGUGGCGGACGGGUGAGUAAUGUCUGGGAAACUGCCUGAUGGAGGGGGAUAACUACUGGAAACGGUAGCUAAUACCGCAUAACGUCGCAAGACCAAAGAGGGGGACCUUCGGGCCUCUUGCCAUCGGAUGUGCCCAGAUGGGAUUAGCUAGUAGGUGGGGUAACGGCUCACCUAGGCGACGAUCCCUAGCUGGUCUGAGAGGAUGACCAGCCACACUGGAACUGAGACACGGUCCAGACUCCUACGGGAGGCAGCAGUGGGGAAUAUUGCACAAUGGGCGCAAGCCUGAUGCACCCAUGCCGCGUGUAUGAAGAAGGCCUUCGGGUUGUAAAGUACUUUCAGCGGGGAGGAAGGGAGUAAAGUUAAUACCUUUGCUCAUUGACGUUACCCGCAGAAGAAGCACCGGCUAACUCCGUGCCAGCAGCCGCGGUAAUACGGAGGGUGCAAGCGUUAAUCGGAAUUACUGGGCGUAAAGCGCACGCAGGCGGUUUGUUAAGUCAGAUGUGAAAUCCCCGGGCUCAACCUGGGAACUGCAUCUGAUACUGGCAAGCUUGAGUCUCGUAGAGGGGGGUAGAAAUCCAUGUGUAG
rnacentral:rRNA from 1 species